AGCCUACAAUUAAGUGACAGCAUAUUCCAAAUGAAUUGGCCGGCGUUGGAUAAUAACGUUAAGAAGAGCCUAUUGAUUAUUAUGAAACGUGCGGAAGCACCCAUUGAAAUUACGACUGCACAUAUCCUACUCAUGAACUUGGAUUCUUUCGUAACCUUACUCAAAACGUCGUAUUCCGCUUACAAUUUACUAGUGCGAAUGCAAGAAAAGCAAUAAUCAUUACCGACAGCACUGCAGUUAAUGGAGUCGCAUAUAGAUGUUGCACGCAUCGUAUCGUUAUUGGCAAGUUCAGAUGGUUGACUUCUCGGUUGCUUAAGUUAAGAUCAAGUAAAAGGUAUAAAUACUUAACGUGGUAAUGCAUUAUAAAAGUGUAGUAAGAAAUAACAUUAUGCGAAUCUUAAAAGUUGCGUGUACAUAACAGAAUAAAUA